CGCUGAGGUCACUCACCCAAACGCAGCUCCGUCAUCGCUCUGCCCGCACUUGCUCCAGCUCGCGCAGCCCACCACGACGACGACAGCAGUGUCAGGAUCUCUGGGCUGGAUGCUGACACUGUACCCUGCGUGGAAGAGGGAUGGGUCCUGCGUAAAUACCAUGGUGCCCGCAAGUUCUCUUUUCUGGCUGGUGCUGUUUCCAGGUCUGUUGGAGUCCUCUUCAACCUCUUCUGCUUUGUGUUCUCCUGAUCCAGGUUUAGCAGGCUUCCUCCUCAGGCUUCCAGUACCUGGCUGAGAGCCAGCCGGCCUGCUCUACCACAGCUGACUUAUGUCCUAGAAGACUCGAAGACUCAAAGCUGUGAACAUACCUGCUCUUGCCAACCUGCUACAUGGAGUCAGGAAGGCACCAUUAGAAUCCUAGCAAGGAAUUUUCUCUAGAAUCAACUAAGACACAUCUCUGGGAAGGCGGUUCCAGGAAGUAUUGACUGAGUGGACAGCACCUUCCGGCAGUGGCCCAGAGAGAGAGGGUCCAUGGCAGAGCCUUGUGCAUGCUUUCCUCCCUUAGCUUCUCGCUGGUAAGUGUGUCUCUCUCGUGGCUGCCACUGCAGCAUCAUCCGAGAAAGAAACACAUUUCACUGACUGCACUGUAAACAUGGCAAAAACUGUCCAAAACAUACCUAGACCUUCAAAAUAUUCCUGGCCUUUUGGAAUCUUUCGUUGAUUUCUUAGUUGCCUUACAAAAGUAGAAAGAAAGAGAGAGAGAGAGAGAGAGAGAGAGAGAGAGAGAGAGAGAGAGAGAAAGAAAGAAAGGAAAAAAGGAUGGGUGGUUACUGAGCCAACAAAAAGAAAGUCUUUGUCCAUUACAGGCAAGCACUGAGUCUAGGUGGGCCAGUUUCUGAAGAUAUGGGAAACCAAGACACCUGCAGAAGGACAGUAGAGAUGGCUUGGUGGCUCCCAGACAGCUAAUGGUAAUUUUAACAUGCCAAGUUCUGCACUUGUCGGCUAAUCAAUGGAAAACAAGUUUUAUAAGGAUGAGCGACCCCUUGUCUGUCUUCCUGUGACACCAGGAAAUAGCUGCAGUUAGCAAAAACUCAGGGGAUGUACUUGUUACAGAGUAAGGACCCAAAGACCACUCAGCACCACCAAAGUUCAAACUGGGUCUCAGUUAAGACAACCAGCAACUAUCUGUGAAGAAACACUUCUUACAGAGCAGCCCCAAUGUAUGUUAUGGGGAUUUUUAAAGACAAAGAUCACAGAAAACCACAUCCUCAUUGGCAGCUCCAUGGAGAAGCAAGCAAGUAGUUGAACAAGAGCCAAGAACAUGCAGUUGUUGGGACAUUUCAACCCUGAUUUUCUAGAAUAGAGUUGGGUGCUUUCCCACGGGACUUUUCAGGACAGGGAGUAGAAACCAAAAAUGACUUCAGCUGAGACAACAUGGAGAAAUCUUUACCCUGUUACAAUAACCAAUGGGCAAUGGAAUAUUUCAUUCCCAGUAGCAACCUCAGGGGGUGCAGGAUAAACCUGCCAGCAGGUGGGAAUGUGGAUCUUAUUAUUGCAAUGGGCAUACAAGCAGUGCCUACAGGAAUUUGGGGACCUAUUUUCCCCAGGCACAGUGGGAUUGAGGAGUCCAAGAAUAAGAAUAUAACAAUGUAGAUUCCAAAAAUGGGAAUGUAGAAAUAAAUAAAUAAAAGAAUGUAGAAAUAAAGUAAGCCUAGAAGAAUGAGAACAGAUUGUCAGCAGCUUUCUCAGUAGUUUGAGGAUUAACUAUUAACAGUGGGUUAUUCUGUUUUUCAACCCAUAGCUCUAUUCACAAGGCCAAAGCAUCUCUCUGCAAACUGAGAGCUAGCCUACAGGUAUGAGCUGAGUCAACUUUUAGGAAAUAGAUAUAUGGCCUCUGGGUUACGCAUUAUCCCUGCUAUGUGAAACUGGCAGCCUCAAAGGGAAGGCACAGGGCUUCAGUAAGCACUAUCUGGAAGUACCAAGGAAGGCAAUAGGUUAAGCACAAACAUUAGUUUAACUGAAAAAAAAUGAAGAUUGUAACUGAAGAGUCCAAGAAUAAGAAAAUAAAAAUGUAGAUUCUAAAAAUAAGAAUGUAGAAAUAAAGAAAUAUAAAGUUAUAAGUCUAGAGGAAUGAGAACAGAUUGUCAGCAGAUUUCUCAGUAGAUCAAGGGUCAAUCAUUCACAGUGAGCUAUUUUCUCAGACGCUUAAGAAGCCUCCAUCAACCUAGGUCAUUUCAUUUUACAACUGGCUGUUCUAUUUACAAGGCCAGGGCUUCUCUCUGCAAACAGAGUAGUGUCCUGGCCAUCCUUGAUGAAUGACAGCUAUGAACUGAGUUAACCUCUAGGAGACAGAGAUACGAGACCUCUGGGUUAGGCACUGUCUCUGUUGUGAAAAAUUGGCACCAUUAAAGAGGAGAAACAGCAACAAUGGUGCAAACACCUGGUUUGACUAAUGAGCUCUGAUAAUGGGGGUUAUAAAGUAUGGCAGUCUGUAUCUGAGUUUUACCAUGAGAUAGGGUGAAAAAACUUUCUGCUGUCUUCUAAGUUCCCAGCCUAAGAAUCAAUAAUUCUGAUUUAUUAACCUUUGAUAUUACAAGCAGUUCCUUUUUCUGACUAAUUGUUAAAAACAUCUGUUUCCUUGCGGUUAGUGACUUUCGCUGUAAUUCUCCUCUGGGACAUAUUUCAUGAUAACUGCCUAGUUACCCAUUGACGUUAGAACCCACUUCCUUCUUCCCAUUACCCCAUAUCUACCCCAAUUGCUCCCCUAAUAAACGAGACUUGAUCAGAAUCCUGUCUUGUCUCCAUCUCUUAUAUCUCUUGUCCCUUUCAACUCUUUUUUUUCCCCCUUUCAACUCUUACUCCUCCCCCUAAGGAUCUCCAUUGACUGACCCGUAGGUUGGGGCAAGAUUGUAAAAAUUCCUUGUUUAGAACUUUAAAUCUUUGACGAAAGAAAUUGAAGAAGACACCAGAAAGUGGAAAGAUCUCCCAUGCUCUUGGGUAGGCAAAAUUAACAUAGUAAAAAUGGCAAUCUUACCAAAAGCAAUCUACAGAUUCAAUGCAAUGCACAGCAAAAUCCCAGCAAAAAUUCUUCACAGACCUCAGAAGAAUGGUACUUAACUUCAUACAGAAAAGCAAAAGACCCAGGAUAGCCAAAAACAAUCCUGUACAAUAAAAGAACUUCUAGAGAAAUCACAAUCCCUGACUUCAAACUACAGUACUGAAAACAGCCUGGUAUUGGCAUAAGAACAGACACAGGACCAAUGGAACCGAAUAGAAGACCCGGAUAUUAAUCCACACACCUUCAAACACCUGAUUUUUUACAAAGAAGCAAAAAAAAAAAUAACAAACAGAAAAAAGAAAACAUAUUUAACAAAUGGUGCUGGCAUAACUGGAUAUCAACAUGUAGAAGAAUGAAAACAGACCCAUAUCUAUCACCAUGCACAAAACUCAAGUCCAAAUGGAUCAAAGACCUCAACAUAAAGCCAGCCACACUGAACCUCAUAGAAGAGAAGGUGGGAAGUACACUUGAAUGCAUUGAUUGGCACAGGAGACCACUUCCUAAAUAUAACCCCAGUAGCACAGACACUGAGAGAAACAAUUAAUAAAUGGGACCUCCUGAAACUGAAAGGCUUCUGUAAAGCAAAGGACAUGAUGAACAAGACAAAACGACAGCCUACAGAAUGGGAAAAGAUCUUCACCAACCCCACAUCAGACAGAGGUCUGAUCUCCAAAAUAUACAUAGAACUCAAGAAAUUGGUCAUCAAAAGAACACAUAAUCCAAUAAAAAAGACCUAAACAGAGAACUCUCAAUAGAGGAAUCUAAAAUGGCUGAAGGACACUUAAGGAAAUGUUCAACAUCCCUAGUCAUCAGAGAAAUGUAAAUCAAAACAGCUCUGAGAUUCCACUUUAUACCUGUAAGAAUGCCCAAGAUCAAAAACACUGGUGACAACUUAUGCUGGAGAGUGAAAGACCCUACAGACCCCCUCCUCAAAACCUGCAGCAGCCAGCCUGCUCUCGUAAGAACAUCCCAUGUGCUUGAGAGAGCAGGAUGAGAUAGGAAGACUGCAAGGCAGGACAUCAACAAAGCAGGUUGACUGCAAAACAGGAUAUCUAUAAGAUAGGAACAGGAUGACUUUUGCUGACACCCAUGCUGAGAGAGGAAACCAUUCAUGCCCCCACCUCAUUCCGAUAACUACGCUUUUUUUGCUUCUGUAAACUUGCUUUUUGCUCUUCCCUAUAAAAAACCUGCCCUCCAGUCGGCAGGCGUGCAAGUCCUCUGAAAGACUUUGCUGCCCGCAGGUACCUGUGUUUACCCAUUGCGAUUUGCAUCCGUGUGGUCUCGGCCUGUUCCUUGGCAUGGGGAGGUCUCCUCCUGAGAGAAAGUCCUCUUCGAGGGUCUUUCAGAGAGGUUGCGGGGAAAAGGGAACAUUCCUGCAUUGCUGGUUGGAGUGCAAGCUGGUAUAACACCUUUGAAUGUCAGUGUGGCAAUUUCUCAGAAAAUUAGGAAACAACCUUCCUCAAGACCCAGCAAUAUCACUUUUGGGUAUUUGUCAAAAGGACGCUCAAUCAUGCCAUGAGGACAUGUGCUCAACUAUCUUCAUAGCAGCUUUGUUUGUUAUAGCCAGAACCUGGAAACAACCUAAAUGCCCCUCGACCGAAGAAUGAGUAAGGAAAAUGUGGUACAUUUACACAAUGGAGUACUACACAGCAGAAAAAAAAUAACGACAGCUUGAAUUUCGCAGGAAAAUGGAUGGAGCUAGAAAACAUUAUUUUGAGUGAGGUAAUUCAGACACAGAAAGACAAUUAUCAUACAUACUCACUCAUGGGUGGUUUUUAAACAUAAAGCAAAGAAAGCCAGCCUACAAACCACAAUCCCAGAGAACUUAGACAACAAUGAGGACACUAAGAGAGACUUACAUAGAUCUAAUAUACAUGGGAAGUAGAAAAAGACAAGAUCUCCUGAGUAAAUUGGAAACAUGGGGACCUUGGGGGAGGGUUGAAGUGGGGAGAGAAAAACAGGGAGGGGAGCAGAGAAAAAUGUAGAGCUCAAUAAAAAUCAAUUUAAAAAUUCCUUUGUUCAGACCUAAUGCUUAGUGCCCGUACUAUAAAAAGGUGGAUUCAGAAACUGGCCUUUUGCCAAAACCUAACAAACACCAUUUCUGGCUGUGGUCUCAGCUAGCUGAUAAGCUUCUGUGCCCCACGGUGUUAUUUAUUUUUUUUAUUUUUAAGUUUGCUUCUGGUUUUUCUGGAAUCUGGUUUCUGGAAUAAAGUCUGCUUCUGGUUUUUAUUAGA